CCUACGGGAGGCAGCAGUAGGGAAUCUUCCACAAUGGACGAAAGUCUGAUGGAGCAACGCCGCGUGAGUGAUGAAGGUUUUCGGAUCGUAAAACUCUGUUGUAAGGGAAGAACAAGUACGUUAGGAAAUGAACGUACCUUGACGGUACCUUAUUAGAAAGCCACGGCUAACUACGUGCCAGCAGCCGCGGUAAUACGUAGGUGGCAAGCGUUGUCCGGAUUUAUUGGGCGUAAAGCGUGCGCAGGCGGUUCCUUAAGUCUGAUGUGAAAGCCCACGGCUCAACCGUGGAGGGUCAUUGGAAACUGGGGGACUUGAGUGCAGAAGAGGAGAGUGGAAUUCCACGUGUAGCGGUGAAAUGCGUAGAGAUGUGGAGGAACACCAGUGGCGAAGGCGACUCUCUGGUCUGUAACUGACGCUGAGGCGCGAAAGCGUGGGGAGCAAACAGGAUUAGAUACCCUGGUAGUCCACGCCGUAAACGAUGAGUGCUAAGUGUUAGAGGGUUUCCGCCCUUUAGUGCUGCAGCUAACGCAUUAAGCACUCCGCCUGGGGAGUACGGCCGCAAGGCUGAAACUCAAAGGAAUUGACGG
rnacentral:rRNA from 1 species